UUUAUCGGAGAGUUUGAUCCUGGCUCAGGACGAACGCUGGCGGCGUGCCUAAUACAUGCAAGUCGAGCGGAUAGAUGGGAGCUUGCUCCCUGAUGUUAGCGGCGGACGGGUGAGUAACACGUGGGUAACCUACCUGUAAGACUGGGAUAACUCCGGGAAACCGGGGCUAAUACCGGAUGGUUGUU
rnacentral:rRNA from 1 species